rnacentral:rRNA from 1 species
UACGUAGGUGGCAAGCGUUGUUCGGAAUUAUUGGGCGUAAAGAGCGUGUAGGCGGUCCGGUAAGUCCGCUGUAAAAGUCAAGGGCUCAACCCUUGAAAGCCGGUGGAUACUGCCGGGCUAGAGUCCGGAAGAGGCGAGUGGAACUCCUGGUGUAGCGGUGAAAUGCGCAGAUAUCAGGAAGAACACCUACGGCGAAGGCAGCUCGCUGGGACGGUACUGACGCUGAGAUGCGAAAGCGUGGGGAGCAAACAGG